rnacentral:rRNA from 1 species
UACGGGGGGGGCAAGCGUUGUUCGGAAUUACUGGGCGUAAAGGGUUUGUAGGUGGCCAACUAAGUCAGACGUGAAAUCCCUCAGCUUAACUGGGGAACUGCGUCUGAUACUGGUUGGCUUGAGUGCAGGAGAGGAACGCGGAAUUCCAGGUGUAGCGGUGAAAUGCGUAGAUAUCUGGAGGAACACCGGUGGCGAAGGCGGCGUUCUGGACUGCAACUGACACUGGGAAACGAAAGCCAGGGUAGCAAACGGG